rnacentral:miRNA from 1 species
CAGCAGCACUCUCACUUUCUCUCUCUCUCUCUCUCUCUCUCUCUCUGUGUGUGUGUGUGUGUGUGAGAGAGAGAGAGAGAGAGAGAGAGAGAGAGAGAUAGAAAUAGCCU